AUACUUACCUAGCAGGGGAGAUACCAUGAUCACAAAGGUGGUUUUCCCAGGGUGAGGCUUAUCCAUUGCACGUCGGGGGGGGGGGGGAGGAGAUAGCUCAGUGGUUUGAGCAUUGGCUUGCUAAACCCAGGGUUGUGAGUUUAAUCCUUGAGGAGGCCACUUA
ensembl:snRNA U1 U1 spliceosomal RNA